ACGAACGCUGGCGGCGUGCCUAAUACAUGCAAGUAGAACGCUGAAGAGAGGAGCUUGCUCUUCUUGGAUGAGUUGCGAACGGGUGAGUAACGCGUAGGUAACCUGCCUUGUAGCGGGGGAUAACUAUUGGAAACGAUAGCUAAUACCGCAUAACAAUGGAUGACACAUGUCAUUUAUUUGAAAGGGGCAAUUGUUCCACUACAAGAUGGACCUGCGUUGUAUUAGCUAGUAGGUGAGGUAAUGGCUCACCUAGGCGACGAUACAUAGCCGACCUGAGAGGGUGAUCGGCCACACUGGGACUGAGACACGGCCCAGACUCCUACGGGAGGCAGCAGUAGGGAAUCUUCGGCAAUGGGGGCAACCCUGACCGAGCAACGCCGCGUGAGUGAAGAAGGUUUUCGGAUCGUAAAGCUCUGUUGUAAGUCAAGAACGGGUGUGAGAGUGGAAAGUUCACACUGUGACGGUAGCUUACCAGAAAGGGACGGCUAACUACGUGCCAGCAGCCGCGGUAAUACGUAGGUCCCGAGCGUUGUCCGGAUUUAUUGGGCGUAAAGCGAGCGCAGGCGGUUUGAUAAGUCUGAAGUUAAAGGCUGUGGCUCAACCAUAGUUCGCUUUGGAAACUGUCAAACUUGAGUGCAGAAGGGGAGAGUGGAAUUCCAUGUGUAGCGGUGAAAUGCGUAGAUAUAUGGAGGAACACCGGUGGCGAAAGCGGCUCUCUGGUCUGUAACUGACGCUGAGGCUCGAAAGCGUGGGGAGCGAACAGGAUUAGAUACCCUGGUAGUCCACGCCGUAAACGAUGAGUGCUAGGUGUUGGAUCCUUUCCGGGAUUCAGUGCCGCAGCUAACGCAUUAAGCACUCCGCCUGGGGAGUACGACCGCAAGGUUGAAACUCAAAGGAAUUGACGGGGGCCCGCACAAGCGGUGGAGCAUGUGGUUUAAUUCGAAGCAACGCGAAGAACCUUACCAGGUCUUGACAUCCGAUGCAUAGCGCAGAGAUGCGUGAAGUCCUUCGGGACAUCGAGACAGGUGGUGCAUGGUUGUCGUCAGCUCGUGUCGUGAGAUGUUGGGUUAAGUCCCGCAACGAGCGCAACCCCUAUUGUUAGUUGCCAUCAUUCAGUUGGGCACUCUAGCGAGACUGCCGGUAAUAAACCGGAGGAAGGUGGGGAUGACGUCAAAUCAUCAUGCCCCUUAUGACCUGGGCUACACACGUGCUACAAUGGUUGGUACAACGAGUUGCGAGUCGGUGACGGCGAGCUAAUCUCUUAAAGCCAAUCUCAGUUCGGAUUGUAGGCUGCAACUCGCCUACAUGAAGUCGGAAUCGCUAGUAAUCGCGGAUCAGCACGCCGCGGUGAAUACGUUCCCGGGCCUUGUACACACCGCCCGUCACACCACGAGAGUUUGUAACACCCGAAGUCGGUGAGGUAACCUUUUGGAGCCAGCCGCCUAAGGUGGGACAGAUGAUUGGGGUG
rnacentral:rRNA from 1 species